GCACGUUUGGCCGAGUGGUCUAAGACGCGGUCAUUAUCUCCUCAGGUUAUGAGCCUGUCACGCGAGACCGGAGUUCGAACCCCGGAGUGGGCA